UAGCCACCACCGCUUUCUCCUUCAUGCGCCUCCACCCUCCCCCGGUUGCAUCGGCACUUCCACAUGCCCCUCCGCCACCCUCCUCCGCGUCGGAAAUUCUUCCCGACGACACGGCCGCGUCGGAAACUCUCUCUGACGACGCGGCCGCGUCGGAAAAUAUCUCCGUCGACACGGCCGCGUCGGAUACUCUCUCCGAAGAGAGAGCCGCGUUGGAAACUCUCUCCGACGAGAGAACCGCCGAAGAGCAAUCGAGCGACGACGUCCUAGAGCUUGAG
rnacentral:lncRNA from 1 species